UCACUUGAUGGGCGGGAAUGACUAAUUG
rnacentral:sRNA from 1 species